UACGUAGGGUGCGAGCGUUAAUCGGAAUUACUGGGCGUAAAGGGUGCGCAGGCGGAUAUAUAAGUUAGAAGUGAAAUCCCUGGGCUUAACCUGGGAACUGCUUUUAAGACUGUAUGUCUAGAGUAUGUCAGAGGGGGGUAGAAUUCCAAGUGUAGCAGUGAAAUGCGUAGAGAUUUGGAGGAAUACCGAUGGCGAAGGCAGCCCCCUGGGAUAAUACUGACGCUCAGGCACGAAAGCGUGGGGAGCAAACAGG
rnacentral:rRNA from 1 species